rnacentral:lncRNA from 1 species
CCGCUGCUGGUCCUUCAGCAAGAGGCAAAGUGACUUUCUGGCCACCUGCAGAACAUCUUCAAGGCCGGCUCGGGGCGCACGUGCUGGUCACGCAUCCGCGAGCACAGGCAGCCCUGUCUUAUUUGAAUCAGACUCCACGGGCCAGGGACCAUCGUUUCUAAGUGCUUUUCGCAUCGCCUAGGCAAUGCCAGCUGGUCCGUAAGGUCCACUGCAAACAAGCAAGGAAGAGCAAGAGUGAAUCUGCUUUUAUUCCCCCGGCAGCGCAACCGCCUUAGUCUUUCUAAGCCCAAAUAAUCUAAUUGUCUGCAGCAGACAGAGCCUCCUUGUGGCUACGCCGACGGCGUCGUCUUUCACCAAAGAUUGUGAUUAUGCCCUUAAACAGAGGGCGACGAGCCCCCCGGGCCGCCGAGAGCCCCCGUUGGGCACCCCGCUCCUCCCCAGCCGCGGAGGCAGGGAGCAGCCUGGGGUUUUUGCCGCCGAAGGAUCUUCCCGGGAGGCACGCGAGGGCAUCGACGCCAGGCGAACCCGCGGAGCACCCGCGUUUCGGCGCGCGGGACAUCAGCGCCUCGGGAGGCGAAUACGCCCGGGGGUGCCAGAGCCCGUCUCCUUUACCAAGGGAAAAUCAGGAGCCCAAACCCGCUGGUUCGUGCGAGGGUCAAGAAGCCCAAAACUCUGCUUUUACACAAGCCGAAACUCCGCUACAUUUCACACAGGCAAUAAAAUCGCAUCUGAAAGCAACCUCCGCGCGCGGCGUUAUAAAACACCGCCUAGGAGGAUGCGGUAAGCGCCGCGAGAGCUCGGUAAAGCGGAGCUGCUGCUCUGCACCUGCGGGCUGCCGCGCACGCAACGUCCCCGCCGCGACAGCGCGUCCGCCUCAGCUCCUCACCGUCCCGUCCGCGCGUCUCAGCCGAGUCCGAUACCACCUCAUGCCCAACCUCCCUUUCCGUCUAGAUGACAAAUUUUCUGCCAUGUCCUGAAGACUCAUGUUGCACUGUUAGAAGGAAAAUGUGUCAGAGUAAGCAUGAAAUCCCAUGGCCUUGCCCUCAAAACAGACAACUUUUCAAGCGAUAGUUUGACCUAGAAAGGUUUUCUAGGUCAUUUUGACUUGGCAUGUAUGUCUGACCUACUAAAUCUAACACAAUAAAAUUACAGAG